GUCUGGUAGAAAAAUCGGACUCGGAGCUUUUGACUGGAAAGACUGUACUAUAUACCAAAGAUUAAGCUGUAAGCUGUUUCGUUUAUUGUUGUAUCUAUAGCUAUAGAAGAUCCUUCGACAGUUGCUUUUAAAUUCAACAGUUUUGAGCCAAGUACUCGCUAGAUUAAAAAUUGAAAUACAUUAGGAAAAAAAAGUCUCUUGGAUCAACUGACAAGAAAAAAUACUCUGCAUCUAAUAGGAUUUUUGCUUGAAUCGAAAGCGAUCCUCUUAACUUAAGCGGAUAUCCUUUUUAUUCCCGAAAAAUUCCAAUCAAUCAUGAGUAUUUUUUCUUGUCCAAUUUGUGAAGAUUCUGGACAUUGGAUCCAUGAGACUUUUUUUCCAGUUUAGCUCGUGGCUCAAGCAUCAUAACUUACAAUUAUUUCGAUAUUUUUUAGCAUUUUUCGUAUCGUACUUAGAUAAAACCACAGAGUACCUAGAGUCGUUAUUUAAGCUGGCGCCACUUUUGAGCAUUUUCCAGGUCCCAAAUUCCGAGACUCCUGUGUGACGCCGGGUCACUUUUUCGAUACACGAUCCGAUUGUUUUCGAUACACUGGCACCCAGCCAUCCCAUUUAAACCAAGAAGAUAGGAAUUACCACGUAUUCCGCCCCGCCAUUUUGGAUCGAACAUAUAUCGAAACAGUGGCCGAAGCUCGGCGCACACCGGGCUCGGAACUCGUCGAGGAGAACAUAUCGCCAGCUCUCCCAUUUUCAUUCCGACUCUAUGUACUAUAUGGGUACAACUUCACUUUUAACAGUAGCGCUAAAGCUCGAUUCCAAGUUUUCUUGUAGCAUGUAGCACCGACGCCUCUUUUUUCGUCGACGCUCAGAUUUUGUGAGCCGUCGUUAAGUUGGGGCGUCGUUGGGGGCCUUUUCGAGGGGGUCGCGUCGCGGGGGUGGCGACGGCGGCGCGCGUCGCCCAGUGUGCGGCACCACCCUCGCUUGCAGCUGCCCGUCACGCGUUCAUCCCUCGCCCUGCGGCCACCCCCGCAGCGCAGCGUGGCGGGAGGGGCAACCUGCGUCAACGUGCGCCCCGACGCCGCGACGCGGACGUCGACGUCGCGUCGGGGCGCUCAGUCGUUUCGCGCCGUCCGCUCCGCCCGGCCGCUCGCCCCCCGCCCCUCCCGCCCGCAAUCUUGCCGCCCUCUCAGCCUACACGUGCCUUCCCCCCUACUUUCCUCCGAAUUAGGCGCCGAUGGAUUUUCAGUCGAUUGAACUUCCUCUAGGUGUAUCCACCUAAAUUUUUCGGCCAAUCCAUUCCAUAGCAAUAGAUGCGCUCUCCAAGAAUCAGUCGAGUGUCGGCGAUCGUUUAAGUUCAUAUUGGAUUACGGGACGUGUGUGCUCCGGUUUCAGGAAAUCACGAAUUAUCAACAAUUUUAAUCGUUGCUCGUACGUCUAUUUCAUGAUGUAUUAUUUUUAAUCUUAAUGACUCUGAUUCGGAAAAUGUCAAAUUAAUCUAGACCAUUCGUUCAAUCAAUUACGUUUUGUCGAGUUCUCGAGGCAAGGAGCUGCCCAUUUGAAGGUAAAACUGACAAAAAAGAAUAAGAAAAUAGGCUUGAAGAAUCCCAAAUUUUCUGUCUAAGAAUCAAUUUAAAAAUAAAGGUCGGAGUUGCCCACUACUGCGCGACACUAACUUAAGCAUGAGAGAUUUUCCCUUUUUUAAGUGUAUUUAUUUGCCGAAGGGAGUACACUAUUCCUAACUUGAACCGAUCAGUUCGUAACUAUGAGUGAAUAAUUAUUUUUUCCAAGUAUUUUGUCGACCUACAAUAGA
rnacentral:lncRNA from 1 species